CCUACGGGGAGGCAGCAGUGGGGAAUUUUGGACAAUGGGCGCAAGCCUGAUCCAGCCAUGCCGCGUGAGUGAAGAAGGCCUUCGGGUUGUAAAGCUCUUUCGGUAGGAACGAAAUGGUUCGUGCUAAUACCACGGACUGAUGACGGUACCUGAAGAAGAAGCACCGGCUAACUACGUGCCAGCAGCCGCGGUAAUACGUAGGGUGCAGGCGUUAAUCGGAAUUACUGGGCGUAAAGCGUGCGCAGGCGGUUUCUUAAGUCAGAUGUGAAAGCCCCGGGCUUAACCUGGGAACUGCGUUUGAAACUGGGAGACUAGAGUGUGGCAGAGGGGGGUGGAAUUCCACGUGUAGCAGUGAAAUGCGUAGAUAUGUGGAGGAACACCGAUGGCGAAGGCAGCCCCCUGGGUUAACACUGACGCUCAUGCACGAAAGCGUGGGGAGCAAACAGGAUUAGAUACCCUGGUAGUCCACGCCCUAAACUAUGUCAACUGGUUGUCGGGGGAUUAGCUCCUUGGUAACGAAGCUAACGCGUGAAGUUGACCGCCUGGGGAGUACGGCCGCAAGGUUAAAACUCAAAAGGAAUUGACGG
rnacentral:rRNA from 1 species